CACAAUUACAUCGUUUUCUGUGGAGCUGCCUGGAAUGCACUUACUUUGUAGCUAUUUUCUUACUGUUGGGAAGUAGGACAAAGGAAGACCAGGAGUUUGCUGUUAUGUGGCUCAGUGCAUGUAGCCUGUGCUUGCUUGUCUCUCACCCAGUUAUUAGAGCUUCCUGACUCAGUUGAGACGGACUAGAUUCAUAGCAUCAGUGCAUUCUCUGCCUUCCACUGCACCCUUUCAGAUAACUUAUUUUCAAUGCUGAAGAAUACUGGAUCAAUAUACAGAAAUAAGGAACAGUUUUUUUGUACAAAGGAAAGGUUUUUCAUCCAUCUGUUUUCCAAAGUGGUUUUAUUCUUCCUUUUAUGUGAAAUAGGCUCCUCCAAACUGGAAUAAUGUCUUUAUAUGGGUGCAGAGGCUCCUGGUUACCAGUGCUGCUUGGUGUUGUGAGUGUGCUGGUGGUGCUGACAGCUGGUAAUGCUGGGCACAACCAGGACAGGGGGGAGACUGGACCAUCCUGCUUCGGGAGCUUUGACCUCUACUUUGUCCUGGACAAAUCUGGGAGUGUGCAGCACCACUGGAUUGAAAUCUAUCACUUUGUGGAACAUCUGGCUCAUAAGUUCAUAAGUCCACAGCUGCGCAUGUCCUUCAUUGUGUUCUCCACUGAGGGAAGGAUUUUGAUGCGGCUCACAGAAGACAGGGAGCAGAUUCGCAAAGGUCUGGAGGAGCUCCAGAAGGUACUUCCAGGUGGAGACACCUUUAUGCACGAGGGCAUCCAGAGGGCCAGUGAGCAGAUAUAUUAUGGAAACUCAGAAGGAUACCGUACUGCCAGUGUCAUCAUAGCUCUCACAGAUGGAGAGUUGCAUGAGGACCUCUUCUACUAUGCUGAGAGAGAGGCCAACCGCUCGCGGAGUCUGGGUGCCUCCGUAUACUGUGUGGGGGUGAAGGACUUCAAUGAGACACAGCUGGCAAAGAUUGCUGAUAGCAAGGACCAUGUAUUCCCAGUGAACGAUGGCUUUGAAGCACUGCAGGGGGUCAUUGAUUCGAUAUUAAAGAAGUCCUGUAUUGAGAUCCUGGCGGCUGAGCCCUCCAGUAUCUGUGCAGGAGAAACGUUCCAGGUGGUGGUGAGAGGAAACGGCUUCCUCCAUGCUCGGAAUGUCCAUAAGGUCCUGUGCAGUUUCCGAAUCAACGACACACUCACCAAGAGUGUGAAGCCAUUAAUAGUGGAAGAUACGUAUCUCCUCUGUCCUGCACCCAUUCUCCAGGAAGAGGGAAUGGCAGCCAACCUCUAUGUCAGCAUGAAUGAAGGUCUCAGUUUUAUCUCCAGUUCAGUCACCAUUACAACAGUGGGCUGUUCUGAUGGAACCAUCCUGGCCAUUGCCCUGCUCAUCCUCAUGCUGCUUUUAAUCCUCAUGAUUCUCUGGUGGUUCUGGCCUCUUUGCUGCACUGUGAUUAUCCAUGAGCCCCCACCAGCGGUAGUGGAAGACAGUUCGGAUGAGGAAGAAGAUGGGAUGCCUAAGAAGAAGUGGCCCACGGUCGAUGCCUCCUACUAUGGGGGCAGAGGUGUGGGUGGAAUCAAAAGGAUGGAGGUGCGUUGGGGUGAGAAAGGCUCUACUGAGGAGGGAGCCAAACUGGAGAAGGCAAAGAAUGCCAGGGUGAAAAUGCCUGAGCAGGAGUUCAUACAGUCCCCCACCCGCAUUCUCAAUAAUGGCAUGCGCAAGCCUCCAGGCCCUCACAAGUGGUACUCACCAAUCAAGGGCAAAUUGGACGCUCUGUGGGUGUUGCUGUCGAAAGGCUAUAACCGCGUGUCUGUGUUGAGACCACACCCAGGAGACAAGAUCCGGUUUUACUGGGAUUACUACGCAUGUGGACAGACAGCUGGAUCACGCGAACAUUCUCCGGGAACUCAGCCAGCUCAGGGAGUGUGCCAAGCAUGUGGACAGCUAAACAAACCAACCGCCACUUCCCCCUCGCCAGCUGGGCUCACAACGUCAGAGUAUGAAUAUAACAUUUUCAUAUCUUCGGCUAUGAGUGAUGGGGGAGGGCGGCAUCAGCGACAAUCAUUUGAAUAAUUCAAUGCAUGUGAUGAACAAAGUCUCUUAGGAAUUUUCUAAUUUGGCUUCUCUAUGGGGCCGUCUAUGGGAAUUGUCUUGCUGGGCCGUAGGUUAGUUAACUAUCCUCUGGUAAUUCGAAAGCGUGCUUCCAGACCGGAAUCCUGGGCCUUGAUGCGAUGCAGCCCAUGCAAAAACAGGAAGUCUCCAGUGUAAACACACAGGGUUUUAUUUAAUAAAAGGUGUUGAUGUCAACAAUUUUUAGCGCGGCCACGGACAUCGACCUCAGAUGUUUUUAACAGAAGGUAAAUUAAAUAUAACCCCUCUUGACAACUCCUCCUCCCAGACUGGCUGACCUCUACUGUUCAGAGCCUGUCCUUGGAGAGUUACAGGCUUGUGAUAAGAGCUGUGGUCCGGUGUGACUGGGCUGGGGGCUGGGAGGGAGAACAGAGAGGAAUAUUGAUUCUGUAGACUCUACUUCCUCCUUCACUUAAACCUGAAUUAAUGUUUAGCUAUUCAGGGUGGAUGGAACUGAAGUGCAUUGUCAGCAAAGUUCUUCAAUCAUGUCAUCUGAGAGAUGGGCACAAACAAUGAUUUCUGCAAAGAUAUUUGCAUUUUCCAAAGAUUUUGGCAAUAUUGUGCAAUGUGGCUGAUUCAUUAGUUUUCUUCUGUGUAUAUAACGCCAUGUGGGUUUUUGUGUGACUUGUUCAUGAGUGUGAGGAUAUUACAGUACACGCUUAGAAAAAAAGGUGCUAUCUAGAACCAAAAAUAACCCCUUUUUUGUUCCAUGUAGAACCCUUUUGGGUUCCCUUUCCACAGAGGUUUCUACAUGGAACCAAAAAGAGUUCUCCUAUGGGGACAGCCGCAGAACCCUUUUGGAACCCUUUUUUCUAAGAGUGUAAGGUACCCAGCAGGGCGAGGGUAAGCACUGGGGCAUGCAGGGGGCACAUGAAAGAUUUUGGACCCUGACUGCAAACAAUGACCAAUGUAGUCUUCUUAGGUAGAACUGAUUACUGCAGCUCCAUUGGCCUGCACUCUCCACCGUAAGAUGGUGACGAGAGACAGUGGAAAUGACACAGAGACAUCAGAAAAUGUGGAAUGUUGUCAUGACUCAUGACAUUGCCUUCAGCAAAGGAUAGCACACAAGAGAAAAAAGCUACAAAAUAAAAAUGACACUCUAUUCCCUAUCACACUAUAGAUGACUGCUGGCUUUAAUCACCACUAAGCCUUUCAUAAUUAACAGUAGGAGUUCAACCUUCAGAAAGCUGUUAAUUAGUACACAGGAAGCUAGGCGGAGAGCUCUAGUUUUUUUGUUGACUCUCAGUGAACAAGGCUGCUCUGGUUGCAAUUAAGAUCUCAAGUCAAGGCAUUUGUUUUUAGUUCCCCUCAAAUCAAUGCAUCUGCGAGGGACAGAAUCUGGUCAGGACACAAGCAAUACUGCCUCGGGACAUGACCUACUCAGUCCGAUGCCCUUUCUCCAAUUUUCCAGUGCCCUGACAGGGCUAGUCGGGAGAGAGCUGAGCCCAAUUAGAGACAAGGAAAACAUUGAUGUGGUGACAUUAGGGUUGCAAAGCUACUGGUCAUUUAUCAAACUUACCAGAAUCUUCAGUAAUUUUGCCAUUGAUUUCUUGUUAAUUACCAAUCUUAAAAAAAUUAAAAAAAUGUAUCCAUAUAUAGUAUUCAUUUUUAUAUCUGUGUCAAUGUUGUUCAUGAGUUUCUAGCAGAUAGACCAUAUGUUCAAGAGAAAAUUGGCUAAUUAAAUAAUCAAUGGCAAUAUUUUCAAUGAACUCUUUCAACUAUUGACUUUUUCCACAAAUGCCACCAGUGUGACGCAUAUUGACAUGGUGCAUGUGCAUUUUUAAAGUAUAUUUCAUGCUUAAACCCUCAUAUCAAACACCAAUGGUAUUCACUAAGUUGCUGGUUUAUAUUUAGGAUAAUGUUUUACGUCUUUGUCUUACCUAUUAUUUUUAAAAAUGUAGCAUGGUGGCAGCACUUUUCAUUUGUUUGUUUAAAACAUCACUGGAAAUAAUUGCAUCUGCAUCUAGAUGAAAGAAUGGUACAUUCUCAGCAACUUCUCAGUCCUGCCAACACUUUUGAUUGCAUCCAACACUUCGGAUUUGGAAGGAAUGUUAUAUACCAAACUUUCAUUAGACCAUGGCGCAAACCAAAACGAUCAUCCAAGGCCAGUAAGAAAUCACAAAUUAAUUGUGGAGAUCUUGUAAUAACUCCAUGCCUUCUCCUAUUGAGUGAUAUCCAUCAAUGCCCUCCACCUCAGUUUAUCACAAACACCAUCAAAUGGCCUAUGCACCUCCUGCAAACGUUGGGUUAAGACUAACUGCAAAGCUUUGGUAUGUUUGGAAUGCGUGCAGUUGAUUAAUCUAAAAUGCAGCUGUCCUAGUUUUGGGCAUGGGGUCAAUGAAACUUACCUUCGCUGUCGGUGUGCUGUACCGCGGGGUGUGUGAGCAUCGAAGGUGGAGUGGGACCAGAGGACUCACCUAGGAUGGAGAGCGCACCAGAGGAGGGGGGCUCCACAGCAGCGCACAGGCCAUCAGAGGCGGGGGACGUGGUGGUGAGGACGACAGAGCAGCGGGCCGAUGCAUGAACUUCACCCGGGUCAAAUUCAAUCCUUCUCCUCGCUACCCCCACUACAACCAUCACUCAGCCCCCAUCUACACACC